CUAAUAAGCACACAAAAUGUGAGACAACAACUAUGUUCUAGUCUCACUAGAGUUAUGCUGACCCUUCACACUGUCCCAUUGCUUCAUAACUUCACAAUAUGCCUCAGCAGACUCAAAAGCAAACUCUGCUAAUGAGCUUAUUGCAACAGACAUUCCAGCACAAAGCACUUUAAUAGCAACUUCAGCAAGUUUUUCAGGCGCCAUCGCAUCUUCUUCCACAUGACCAACUUCCACCAUUUCCAUACUCCCAUCAGUUUGUUUUGAUCCAUAUGAGUUUGUUCUCGAAUCUUGUCUCAGUUGAUGCGCAUAGAGGGAUCCCAUCCCAGCUGCAAAAAAGUCCAUGCCGUCAAGCACCGCCUUUUCGCGUACACCAUCAAGACGCCUUGACCAUUGAACAAUAAGUCCGAAUAACGGGUGACUGCUGCUUGACCUAUGAGGAGAGCAUGGUGACUUUGAUAUGUCAUCGGGUUCGGAUCUCACGCACCGGAGAAGCCAUCCGGCCAGUGCUUGAAUGUAGGAUCUUUGAGAAGUGAUCCAUGACUCGAAGGUGAUUCGCCAGUUCCUUAACUCGAUUUCAAGAUUUGAGGCUGACCGGGCUAGUCUGUUUGGAUCAGCCAUUGAAAUGGAAGUCUGUCUUUUUGGAUGUAAUUUGGAAGGUGUGCCAGCUAGAAGAAUCUUAGCUUCAUCUAAGGUUCUCUUCUGUGUUUGAUGACAUUCUGCCAUCACUUUCCACAUCUUUUCAAGCCUGUCAUUUGUAUAUAAUUGAAGAAUCAGC
rnacentral:lncRNA from 1 species